rnacentral:lncRNA from 1 species
UGUCAAACAUGUAAUGAACAAACGUUUGCCUAAGUUUCAUGUUGGUCGAAAGGAUAGAAAGCGAAAGAGAGGCGAAUGGAGAAUCAACGAGAGACCAGCCAAGAGUCUCAACAUCGAGAUUGGGGGUAGAUUUCCUUUGAUCCCUAACAAGGAACACAAAGUUGUAUUAUUUCCACCUGGGUUUCAAACGGUUCAGAAUCCGCCAGGCGUGAAACACGAUCCGUCUCUCUCUCUCUCUCUCUCUCUCUCUCUCUCUCUAUCUUCAUCUCAGGUCCGCUUAGACUUUUCGUCCUUCUGAUGUUAGAAACUUCUCUCGCUACCUCUUAUUCUGCUCUUCGCCCUUUCUCUUUCACGUCUUUAUUUCCUUCUUGUUCUUCACUCGGUUUUGAUUGCGGUACGGGAGUGGUAGAGUCGCGUAGUUUACUGAUGUUACAAAUUCAAUUUCUCCUCAGCUCAGACCAUUGUCCAGAAAAAAAAGGAGGGGAAACCACAGAAGGGGUUACAUCACGGAGAGAGAGAAUCGUCUCUCUAUCUUUCGCGAUUGUGCGUGUGACAGCUCGUGAGAUUCAGAAUCUUCCUCGCUUUUUUUCUCUCUUUAUCUUUUUCUUUCUUUCACUCUUAAAAGAAAAAAUUUGCUGACUUCCUCCAGAAUGUGCACGCAUGUUGCAUGCAAACAUAUAAUUGUGACACAUACAUUUUGACCGUGUGAGAUGAAGGAACAAGUUUUUCAACACAUUUGUUUUGAAAUGUCACGAAUUUUGUAUUUCACAGAUUAAUUGUUAAAAAAUGACAAAUAAUAACUUUUGGUUAUACGUAAUUCUCUAUCACUAUCUCUAUGUUUUAUUCAUUAAAUAUUUAGAAAAAUUAGUUACAUGUAUUUAUAAUUACACUUAUAUCUAUGUAAAAGCACAAAUUUAAUAAUUCGUUAACAAUGGACAAUCCGAUUAUGCAAUUUAUUACGUAAAAUUCUGAAGUGAGCAAAUGUUGAGAGAGAGAAAGGGAGGGAGGGAGGGGAGGGGGAGAGAAAGAAUAUAAACAGAUGCGAAAAGAACCUGAUUUCCGACGGAGAGGGGAGAGGGCGUUUCAGUUACCUCAGAUUCGAGGGUGUUUUUUCGCAACUGCGCGAGUUAUUUACCGCACUUGUUAACAGUGUACGCGAACCUGCUAAAGUGGUCUCGCUGCUAAUUAACUGCGUUAUUUUUUACAACUCUCGCGCAUUUCCACCCGUCAUUGCCCUUCUCCUCCUUCUCCUCCUCUCGAACCGUUCUCGCGGCGCCCACCCACGACGGGAUUCGAUAUUUUCCGUUUUAUUUAUCUGCCGCGGUUUUAACUACGGUAAUGGAGAAAAAUACGCAUAUUCGUGAAACUCGACGAGUAAAAGAUUAAAGCGUUUGUCGAGUAAGUAUGCACAAGUAACGAAAAUUGAACUUUUUUAUUAAUCGUAUUGAUUCCAAAUUAAAUUCGGACUUGUAUGCUAUAUUUGCGAUAGAGUAAGUACAUUUUUCAAGCAUCUUGAGUGUAAGUAGAACGUUAUAAUAUUUUGAAUUUUUACAUUGAUCGAAAUGUUUGUUAAAAGAACAAAAAGAGAUUUUGGUUUAAUUCGAUUUAACGAUCGCGAGCGAGCGAAUCAAUCGAACGUCGCAGGGAUACGAGAUAUGUAAGAAAUCGAUGUAUAUAAACCAUAAUAUUGCCGUGUCGCUUCCGCGAAAUCGGUUGUAGUGGUGUAAGAUGGAGAAAGAGGAUGGCAAGGGUAUAGACGUAUCUCUCUGCGCGCUGGAGCAGACGCGGCAGUGGCGGCGGUGGCGGCGGCAGCAGCGGCAGCAGCAGCAGCAGCAGCACCCUUCUUUUCUCCGCCACGAAAAGUUUACAAUUGCGUUUAUACACGAUUACAUCGUACUCGAGGAGGACCGAAAAAUAUAUGACGAAGAAGAAUAAGGCGCGAGAAGGGGCGGAGAGGGUUGGAGAGAUCUCAACCUUUUGGUGGUUGAAGAUAGCGAGAAGGAGGCCACGAGAGGAGAGAUGGUCCAGGCAGUUACGGCAUUAUAUACCUAACAGGAAGAGAGACAAAGCGAACAAAACAUUGUCGGGGCGUCGCUCUGCAAACAGAACCCUUGGUUAAAGAGUAUAGCCGAGAGUUUAAGACUGAAGAAUGUGGGACGUGAUCAUCCCUAUCGCGUGAAUCAACUUUAAGGAGAUGACUGCGGAUUAUUCGAGCCACCAACGCCGCCGUCGCCGCCGUCACCCUCGAUUAUAGAAGACAAUUUUAAUAUCGUCGAAUAAUAGAGAGCAUGGGGCGAAGGAAGGGUACGUUCUGAAAACUCGGGUGAUAUAAGGUCACGGUAGAGCUCGAUAAAGGAGGAGUUUCAGCACUAUUCCGAUCUUGUAGGUUGGCUACGUGGUGAGCAUGUAAAACGAUAUUCAAUAUCUUUGCUAUUGAGGACCUACAUUGUCACCGCAAAACUAUUCCGGAUGACUCUGUGAUGAUAUAGUCUAUAAAAAAAAAACAGCAAUACACAGAAGAAAAGGAUAUUGUAUUUUAACAAUACUUUUAGUUUCAAAAUGAAAAUCUUGAAAUCAGAUUAU